GACAGAGGGUGCGAACGUUGUUCGGAAUUACUGGGCGUAAAGCGCGUGUAGGCUGUCUGGAAAGUCGGGUGUGAAAGCCCUGGGCUUAACCUAGGAAGUGCACUCGAAACUCCCAGACUGGAGUCCCGGAGAGGAAGGCGGAAUUCUCGGUGUAGAGGUGAAAUUCGUAGAUAUCGAGAGGAACAUCGGUGGCGAAGGCGGCCUCUGGACCGAUACUGACGCUGAGACGCGAAAGCGUGGGGAGCAAACAGGAUUGAGAUACCC
rnacentral:rRNA from 1 species